AGUUCUAAAUUCCCAGUCUUAUCUGAGCUAGCUAGAGAUAUCCUUGCUGUUCAAGUAUCUUCGGUUGCUUCUGAAUCCGCAUUUAGCACAAGUGGUCGGAUCUUGGACCCGUAUCGCAGUUCUAUGUCACCUUUUAUGGUUGAGUCGUUGGUUUGCACCCAACAGUGGCUGAGGAAUACCAUUCAAGCAGAGAAAUUAGCAAGCUUAGUUCAGAUGUUUGAAGAAUUGCAGUUUCAUGAGUCCUUAGCUACACAGAAUGCGACUCAUCCAAUUGCGGAUCCGUGAUCUAGAGAAGAACAAGGGAGACUAGAACCAAAUAAUGAUAGUAAAAGGUUGUCUCUCUUUCUCUACAUCUUUUGCAUAAAAAAACUCAUAACAGUUAACUAUUUUUUGGAAUGAAGUAAGUAGAGAAUGACAAUAUACCAAAUGCCUAGAGGUAAGAGGAAAGGAUCAUUGGUAUAUUGUCAAUUCUCAUUCUCUCUA